rnacentral:rRNA from 1 species
AUUGAACGCUGGCGGCAGGCCUAACACAUGCAAGUCGAGCGGUUGACGGGAGCUUGCUCCCUGAUUCAGCGGCGGACGGGUGAGUAAUGCCUAGGAAUCUGCCUAUUAGUGGGGGACAACGUUUCGAAAGGAACGCUAAUACCGCAUACGUCCUACGGGAGAAAGCAGGGGACCUUCGGGCCUUGCGCUAAUAGAUGAGCCUAGGUCGGAUUAGCUUGUUGGGGAGGUAAUGGCUCACCAAGGCGACGAUCCGUAGCUGGUCUGAGAGGAUGAUCAGUCACACUGGAACUGAGACACGGUCCAGACUCCUACGGGAGGCAGCAGUGGGGAAUAUUGGACAAUGGGCGAAAGCCUGAUCCAGCCAUGCCGCGUGUGUGAAGAAGGUCUUCGGAUUGUAAAGCACUUUAAGUUGGGAGGAAGGGUUGUAGAUUAAUACUCUGCAAUUUUGACGUUACCGACAGAAUAAGCACCGGCUAACUCUGUGCCAGCCGCCGCCGUAA